UACGGAGGGUGCAAGCGUUAAUCGGAAUUACUGGGCGUAAAGCGUGCGUAGGCGGUUAGUUAAGUCAGAUGUGAAAGCCCCGGGCUUAACCUGGGAACUGCAUUUGAUACUGGCUGACUAGAGUUUAAUAGAGGAGAGUGGAAUUUCAGGUGUAGCGGUGAAAUGCGUAGAGAUCUGAAGGAACACCAGUGGCGAAGGCGACUCUCUGGAUUAAAACUGACGCUGAGGUACGAAAGCGUGGGUAGCAAAC
rnacentral:rRNA from 1 species